rnacentral:rRNA from 1 species
GAUGAACGCUGGCGGCGUGCUUAACACAUGCAAGUCGAACGGAAAGGCCCAAGCUUGCUUGGGUACUCGAGUGGCAAACGGGUGAGUAACACGUGGGUGAUCUGCCCUGCACUUCGGGAUAAGCCUGGGAAACUGGGUCUAAUACCGGAUAGGACCACAUUUUGGAUGGUGUGGUGGAAAGUUUUUCGGUGUGGGAUGAGCUCGCGGCCUAUCAGCUUGUUGGUGGGGUAAUGGCCUACCAAGGCGUCGACGGGUAGCCGGCCUGAGAGGGUGUACGGCCACAUUGGGACUGAGAUACGGCCCAGACUCCUACGGGAGGCAGCAGUGGGGAAUAUUGCACAAUGGGCGCAAGCCUGAUGCAGCGACGCCGCGUGGGGGAUGACGGCCUUCGGGUUGUAAACUCCUUUCGCUAGGGACGAAGCGCAAGUGACGGUACCUGGAGAAGAAGCACCGGCUAACUACGUG